AUUGAACGCUGGCGGCAUGCCUUACACAUGCAAGUCGAACGGUAACAGGUUAAGCUGACGAGUGGCGAACGGGUGAGUAAUGUAUCGGAACGUGCCCAGUCGUGGGGGAUAACUACUCGAAAGAGUGGCUAAUACCGCAUACGACCUGAGGGUGAAAGCGGGGGACCGUAAGGCCACGCGCGAUUGGAGCGGCCGAUAUCAGAUUAGCUAGUUGGUGGGGUAAAAGCCCACCAAGGCGACGAUCUGUAGCUGGUCUGAGAGGACGACCAGCCACACUGGGACUGAGACACGGCCCAGACGCCUACGGGAGGCAGCAGUGGGGAAUUUUGGACAAUGGACGCAAGUCUGAUCCAGCCAUGCCGCGUGCGGGAAGAAGGCCUUCGGGUUGUAAACCGCUUUUGUCAGGGAAGAAACGAGUUUCUCUAAUACAGAGACUUAAUGACGGUACCUGAAGAAUAAGCACCGGCUAACUACGUGCCAGCCGCCGCGGUAAGAC
rnacentral:rRNA from 1 species